rnacentral:rRNA from 1 species
UGGGGAAUAUUGGACAAUGGGGGGAACCCUGAUCCAGCCAUGCCGCGUGUGUGAAGAAGGCCUUAUGGUUGUAAAGCACUUUAAGCGAGGAGGAGGGUACUGGUAUUAAUACUACCAGGUACUGGACGUUACUCGCAGAAUAAGCACCGGCUAACUCUGUGCCAGCAGCCGCGGUAAUACAGAGGGUGCGAGCGUUAAUCGGAUUUACUGGGCGUAAAGCGUGCGUAGGCGGCUAAUUGAGUCGGAUGUGAAAUCCCCGAGCUUAACUUGGGAAUUGCAUUCGAUACUGGUUAGCUAGAGUGUGGGAGAGGACGGUAGAAUUCCAGGUGUAGCGGUGAAAUGCGUAGAGAUCUGGAGGAAUACCGAUGGCGAAGGCAGCCAUCUGGCCUAACACUGACGCUGAGGUACGAAAGCAUGGGGAGCAAACAGG